AUCUUCAAUCUUCUUCUUGCCAUCGUUAUUCUUUGGAGGGGAGAUUAGAGCCGUUUGAAGGGAGUUGUGAAAUCUUUCGGGAUUUCAAGGCUUCUUAGGACUUAUCUUUUAAUUUCUUACUGUCAAUUCUUUCUUUAUUUCUACUUGUGCUGAAUCAUUAUCUAAUCUAUUUUCUGUUCUUAUUGUGUUUUCAGCCUUUUCCUAUCUUAAGGAAUCAGCCCAAAAAUCCCCAAUUUCUAGGGUUUUUCCAUACUCUUUUUGGGUGAAAUUAGAUUGUCGAAAUUUGGGGAAAACUAUCUUGGUGUUCAAUUGGGCAGAAUCGCAAUCUCCUU
rnacentral:lncRNA from 1 species